rnacentral:rRNA from 1 species
CCUACGGGAGGCAGCAGUGGGGAAUAUUGCACAAUGGGGGAAACCCUGAUGCAGCGACGCCGCGUGAGUGAUGAAGGAAUUCGGUUUGUAAAGCGCUAUCAGCAGGGAAGAAAAUGACGGUACCUGAGUAAUAAGCCCCGGCUAACUCCGUGCCAGCAGCCGCGGUAAUACGUAGGGCGCAAGCGUUAUCCGGAUUUACUGGGUGUAAAGGGAGCGUAGACGGCAGUGCAAGUCUGGUGUGAAAGGCGGGGGCUCAACCACCGGACUGCUCUGGAAACUGUACGGCUAGAGUGAGGGAGAGGUAAGUGGAAUUCCUAGUGUAGCGGUGAAAUGCGUAGAUAUAAGGAGGAACACCAGUGGCGAAGGCGGCUUACUGGACCGUAACUGACGCUGAGGCUCGAAAGCGUGGAGAGCAAACAGGAUUAGAUACCCGAGUAGUC